rnacentral:rRNA from 1 species
AUAUGGACCUCGGAUCAGGUAGGGAUACCC